rfam:Camelus ferus unplaced genomic scaffold scaffold261, whole genome shotgun sequence.
GAGGAUAUAGCUCAGUGGUAGAGUUCCUGCCUAGCAUGCAGAAGGUCCUGGGUUCAGUCCCCAGUACCUCCA